rnacentral:rRNA from 1 species
UGCAGCAACGCCGCGUGAGGGAUAGACGGCCUUAUCGGGUUGUAAACCUCUUUUAGCAAGGAAGAAGCGAAAGUGACGGUACUUGCAGAAAAAGCGCCGGCUAACUACGUGCCAGCAGCCGCGGUAAUACGUAGGGCGCAAGCGUUAUCCGGAAUUAUUGGGCGUAAAGAGCUCGUAGGCGGUUUGUCGCGUCUGCUGUGAAAACUGGAGGCUCAACCUCCAGCCUGCAGUGGGUACGGGCAGACUAGAGUGCGGUAGGGGAGAUUGGAAUUCCUGGUGUAGCGGUGGAAUGCGCAGAUAUCAGGAGGAACACCGAUGGCGAAGGCAGAUCUCUGGGCCGUAACUGACGCUGAGGAGCGAAAGGGUGGGGAGCAAACAGGCUUAGAUACCCUGGUAGUCCACCCCGUAAACGUUGGGAACUAGUUGUGGGGACCAUUCCACGGUUUCCGUGACGCAGCUAACGCAUUAAGUUCCCCGCCUGGGGAGUACGGCCGCAAGGCUAAAACUCAAAGGAAUUGACGGGGACCCGCACAAGCGGCGGAGCAUGCGGAUUAAUUCGAUGCAACGCGAAGAACCUUACCAAGGCUUGACAUAUACGAGAACGCUGCAGAAAUGUAGAACUCUUUGGA